rfam:Dufourea novaeangliae contig3520, whole genome shotgun sequence.
CAAUCGGCCCUUUUCGGGGCCACGAAUUUUCAUUAAGCGAUUGUGU